rnacentral:lncRNA from 1 species
GAUUUCAGACUUCGGCCCCCUCAUCGGCACCAACCUAGGUGCUCACUGCCGAUCCUCAUCACUUACAACAUACGUGGUAGGGAGGCUAACUACGAUCUCUCUGAGCCUUACUUCCACAGCUAUAUUCGAAAAGAUUGACGAAUGACCUUCGUACAAUCCCAUCAAGCUACGCCACUACUAGGAUCAGCUAGCCAGGCACUAAAUAAAGUAGGCAUAACCGCUUAAUCCCACAAAAUUCGAUCGAAAAUCUCAGGAUAGUGCAUCCAGCAGAGUUCAAGCAGCCUCUAAUUCUUUUCCUCCAUAGUUCUUGUACUCUAUAAAUAGAAGUAAUCAGAAGACCCCCA